rnacentral:misc_RNA from 1 species
AUUUGAGAGUUGGAACUAGCUCAUAACCCGAAGGGUACAUCUAAUAUAAACGUUGAACUUAUAUGAUAAAGAGUUUAACAACUGUUAAAUCAAAAAUUCGUAUUAGGAUUUAUGCAUAAUCAAUUAAAGUGUAUAUAAUUAGUGCACAAAUCUAAAUAUAAAUAUUUGAUAUAGCAGUAUAUGAGGUCAAGUUUAUAAUAACCGCAUCUGAAUCAGAAUAAUUUGAACUCCUUGGGCGAUGCAUGAUUAGUGCUGAGCUAAGAGCAAAGUUAUAUGACAAAGUAACCUUCCAUUCCUCGUUUCCUCUAACCUAGGUGGACCAGGAACCUCAGUUCAGGUAGGAGGGCCAGGAACUCAGUUCAGGUUGUUCUGGUAUUAAAUUAUUUGGCCAUGAUUGACGUAAACAUUAACAAAUAGAAGCACUGUGCUUUGUGGUUUAUUUGGUAGCUACUAGUACAAAUAUCCUUUUUUUUUCAUGCUUCAAUUGAUGCUAUCAAGUGGGUGUUUUUAUUAUGUUGUUAGG